UUUCCGUAGGUGGACCUGCGGAAGGAUCAUUUCCGAAUACAAUCUCUUUAUCAACAACCUGUGUGAACUGUUUAUGUCCUUUACUCCCGGGUCGCCUGUGUGUGUGUGUAUGUGUGCUUGUGAUUUGAAUUUGCUCGCGGCAACGUGGGUCUUCUCCUUUCACUGCCUCAUAUUCAUAUAUAUAUAUGAUGGUCCGGGAGGCCAUUAUGAACUACCUUGUCAAAAAGGUUGAUUGUGUAUCGUCUGCUUUUAAACAAAAAAAUGAUGAUAUUAAACAACUUUUAACGGUGGAUCUCUUGGCUCGU
rnacentral:misc_RNA from 1 species